UUUAAUAUAUGAUGAUACUAUCGUAACAAAUCCUCCAACUCCAAGAGAAACCGUUCAUCCACCACCAGCAUCACGUUGGUUCUUCAAUUUUUGAUUCCCAUUUGUUUUCCUUUUAUCACAUUUAAUUUUUGUUCUGAUAUUUAUCUUUUAUAUUUUUUAUUGCAUUUUUCUUCUUGUAUGUUUUUCCAGAUCUGGAUUUGUUUUCGGAUCUGCACCGGUGACACCUACUGCAGCCGCACUCAAGACUUCUCCUCCUUCGCCCCCAACCAUGCCUUUCGCACUCUGACCUUACUUUCCGGUUUCCUCUCUCCCACAUCACCGCCGCCACCACCAGCCCCUUUUUCCCCUUUCUUCACCGACAACAAAAACAAAUAGACAACCCCAAACACAACGCACACCCAACAAAAUACAAAAGAAGAGGUCGCAAACGUUCACAAUUCCCUUAAUCUCAAAUCUAGAAACUCAUGCACACGAAACCAAAGUGGAGGGGCACGACAGUCGGUUAGACUCUAGAUUCAGCGGCGAUGAUGACCGUAACGACGGUAUUCACAGUCUCUACUAUGUUGUUGUGCCUUCCCUAUGAUGAAUGAGGGAGCUUUGGUGCCGGGAAUAAAUGGUGGUGAGACAUUGGAGGAAGUUAAACGGGUUUCAGAUUACAGUAGGAAAAAUUGGAUAAAAGAAAGGACUUUUGUCUUUUCAAUUUGAGAGAAUAAAAAUGGUUGAAUCAUGGAUGCCAAUGCAAACCGAGAUUCAAAUCAUUAAAAACAUGAGCCG
rnacentral:lncRNA from 1 species